UACGUAGGGGGCAAGCGUUGUCCGGAAUUAUUGGGCGUAAAGAGCGUGUAGGCGGUCCGGUAAGUCAGCUGUGAAAGUCAAGGGCUCAACCCUUGAAAGCCGGUUGAUACUGUCGGGCUGGAGUCCGGAAGAGGCGAGUGGAAUUCCCGGUGUAGCGGUGAAAUGCGCAGAUAUCGGGAGGAACACCAAUGGCGAAGGCAGCUGACGAAACUAUAACUGACACUGAGGCUCGAAAGUGUGGGGAUCAAACAGG
rnacentral:rRNA from 1 species